CCUACGGGGGGCAGCAGUGGGGAAUAUUGCACAAUGGGGGAAACCCUGAUGCAGCGACGCCGCGUGAGUGAAGAAGUAUUUCGGUACGUAAAGCUCUAUCAGCCGGGAAGAAAAUGACGGUACCUGACUAAGAAGCCCCGGCUAACUACGUGCCAGCAGCCGCGGUAAUACGUAGGGGGCAAGCGUUAUCCGGAUUUACUGGGUGUAAAGGGAGCGUAGACGGCAGCGCAAGUCUGGAGUGAAAUCCCAUGGCUUAACCAUGGAACUGCUUUGGAAACUGUGCAGCUAGAGUGCAGGAGAGGUAAGCGGAAUGCCUAGUGUAGCGGUGAAAUGCGUAGAUAUUAGGAGGAACACCAGUGGCGAAGGCGGCUUACUGGACUGUAACUGACGUUGAGGCUCGAAAGCGUGGGGAGCAAACAGGAUUAGAUACCCCAGUAGUC
rnacentral:rRNA from 1 species